rnacentral:lncRNA from 1 species
CUGGCGAGUUGCGCGUUCUGUGCAUUCGUCGAGCUUUGUCCCCUAUGCCGUGUCUCGCGCUGUCGAGCUAACGUCGAGUAGUACCUCCUGCGAUAAGUCCCGUAAGAAGAGAAAAUCUUCCAAUGUUUUUACACAAUUGGAUUACUUGUCGACCGAACCGAUAAAUUCCCACCCCGGUCUGCCAGAUUAGUUUCAUUACUUUAUUAACAUAUGUGUUUUACGUAGCUCUGAUUAUGAUCACUAUAUUGCUAAUAUUAUAUCACAGGUGCUAAACAAGUUAGUUGAUACGAAACCUGAAUACAUAAUAUACAGUUAAGCCGCGUGCAGAAUUUUCGUCCUUCGAUUUUAAUGAUUCUCGUGAUUCUCGCCACGGGUAGGUACAAAAAUAAAUUUUAACGUUCCGCUAUCUAUUAACAGUUCCUCUGGAACCCUUGUCGCAGGGGAUCGCCCAUAAAGAAAACUCUCUAGGCCAUCCUUCCCAAUUACCAAGGUAUCGGCUCAUUGAAACGGACUGUGACGACUUUCUCAGUGAAUGCUGCUGUCUCAUCAGACAACAGGCGACGAAUCGGUAGAGUUACAAUUUUAAUCAUAGAAGAAAUUCGAGAUUUUUAUAUGACAAAUGAGGUCAGUGGUAGAUUGGUGUACACUGCCCGUUUACGAAACAGAUACAACGUAUUGAGGAUAGAUAUCGGUGUACAAAAACAUUUCGUUACAUUAUUACAUUCGUUUUGCUUACAAUAGUCCUUUGUUCCCGCACAUUUUUGGUUUUGACAACCACACACUCACACGGCGUUGGAGCAAGCAUAGCGAGUUCCAGGGUUAGUGGAAUAAUCCCGUUUCUAUUAAUGAAAAAUUGAGACUAGUAGAUAAAGAUGAGACGGGAGUUAGUCUCAUCGACUGGCGGCUAGAAGCAGCACCAGAGACAUUCCUGGCUGUAGAAAACGGCGGAGGCAGAGCAUCUCCGGCCAGUGGUGUCGGGCACGAAGUAUUUGGGUUUGCCACUCCGUCCACGGCUCCCUCGCUGAUCACGUUUAUUACUCUUUGUAUUAUUAUUCUUAAUAAAUCAGAGAUGAAAGUCAACCAAAUAUAGGAAAUAAACAAAAGUUUUCAAUUUCAAUAACUAUAUUGGUAAGGAUCGGCUAAUGCCUAAACUCUCCCUCAGUAUAAUCCAAAAGGAUAAAUAGGAAAGGGGUUUCGUACGAUGAAGUGCUGCGCCGAUACCCAACUGUGCGCUGUAUCUGUGCCUUUGUCACCCAUUGUCUGAUGUAUGUCUUGGCAAUCUUACUUCGUCAGGCAGAUAUUCUGAUGAUGUUUCCUUGCCGUAUGGUCAUACAAAAAUGGGUGUGACAUUCAUACUUCAAUCCAUCAUACUGGCAGACCAGAGAGGGGAAAUCGGCUUCAGUCGGAUGAUGUCGCAGAUAAUGCAAUAGUAGCAGAAUUACGCAAACGUGAGACAUCUAUAAUUGAUAAGAAGGAAUAUCAUAAUUACUAGCAAAUUUGAGGUGGGAAAAGAAAGAGGGGGAAAAAAAUCCGUUCAUCCAGGGUAGCAUUCUUAAUAACUAGAAUCUACGGAUAUCGUGGAGCCAACAGGACUCACGAGAAUUCUCUAGUUUUCUAUUUAAAAUUUUCUAAAAGUUUAGAUAAAAUGACCUCCACCCAGGGCAGUGUCUCUUUAUUGUCGGUUUCUUUCUCCGUAUUAUCCUUGACAGAUUCCCCACUUGUCCUAGUGGCGUUUCUAGCUAGUUCCUGUCCUGCAGGGACGUUUAUUUUCUCCUGUGUUAUUUCCGGAGAACUUUUGUGUUUGCUUGCCUCAAUUUCCUGCCAGUUGGGCUUCGUUUAUAUUGGUCUUCUCGCCUUUUCUUUCCAUUUGUUUUCUAUUUGGCCCCUUAUCAACUAUAUUUGUUUGUUCUGACAUCUUUCGCAUAUGAUCCGCGCUUUGUCUCAUCGUUUUAUCGGGUUUGUCCAUGAUUCGUUCUCUCGAUAAGAACUAAAAUGUCUUUCCGGUCGGUAUACCAGCGGACCAUUUGUACCGAACCAGUUCUCACUCGCCCGUCUACGAAGAUUCGGCCCCCGCGCUCCCUCUGCGUUUGCUUUUACUGUAGUAAAAAAUCUCAACUGAAUAUGCACAGUAUGUGCCAAAAUAUACAGUAUUGAAAUGAAAAGACGAACAAUAUUACCUUAUUGUUAUCUGUUAGCUUUUUCAAGAGAAAUAAACAUUAUUAGUGUGUUCAUUUACCACAGUAUGCAUCAGCGGUGUUGUGCUAAUUUUUUUUUUUACCGG